rnacentral:rRNA from 1 species
AUUGCAGAGGAAAGAUCCAGAGAUGGUGAUGCCCUUCGGGGUCUCUGUGAAGGUGCUGCAUGGUUGUCGUCAGCUCGUGCCGUGAGGUGUUGGCUUAAGUGCCAUAACGAGCGCAACCCCUUUCCCUAGUUGCCAUCGGUUUUGGCCGGGCACUCUGGGGACACUGCCUCCGCAAGGAGUGAGGAAGGUGGGGAUGACGUCAAAUCAGCACGGCCCUUACGUCCGGGGCUACACACGUGUUACAAUGGGUGAUACAGAGGGCCGGCCGCUGGCAACAUCGGUCCAAUCCUUAAAGUCAUCCUCAGUUCGGACUGGGGUCUGCAACCCGACCCCACGAAGCUGGAUUCGCUAGUAAUCGCGCAUCAGCCAUGGCGCGGUGAAUACGUUCCCGGGCCUUGUACACACCGCCCGUCAAGCCACGAAAGCCGGGGGCGCCUGAAGUCCGUGACCGCGAGGGUCGGCCUAGGGUGAAACCGGUGAUUGGGGCUAAGUCGUAACAAGGUAGCCGUACCGGAAGGUGCGGCUGG